CGAUGCGUCUUAAGCAUGCAAGUCGAGCGGGCUUAUUCGGGCAACUGGAUAAGUUAGCGGCGAACUGGUGAGUAACACGUAGGUAAUCUGCCGUAGAGUGGGGGAUAACCCAUGGAAACAUGGACUAAUACCGCAUAUACUCUUGCUACAUAAGUAGAGUAGAGGAAAGGAGCAAUCCGCUUUACGAUGAGCCUGCGGCCUAUUAGCCUGUUGGUGGGGUAACGGCCUACCAAAGCUACGAUAGGUAGCCGACCUGAGAGGGUGACCGGCCACAUUGGGACUGAGAUACGGCCCAGACUCCUACGGGAGGCAGCAGCUGAGAAUCUUCCACAAUGGACGAAAGUCUGAUGGAGCGACAUCGCGUGAGGGAUGAAGGCCUUCGGGUUGUAAACCUCGGAAAUUAUCGAAGAAUGAGUGACAGUAGAUAAUGUAAGCCUCGGCUAA
rnacentral:rRNA from 1 species